AACGGCCGUACCAUGCUGAAUAUACCGGUUCUCGUUAGAUCACCGAAGUUAAGCAGCAUUGGGCGCGGUCAGUACUUGGGUGGGUGACCACCUGGGAACACCGCGUGCCGUU
rnacentral:rRNA from 1 species